AGGAAGGAUAUGCGCACCCUCACCUACCUCAACUCCAUGUUUCACAAUCGGCACCUCUUCAAGGACAAAGUGGUGCUAGACGUGGGCUCAGGCACUGGUAUCCUCUGCAUGUUCGCUGCCAAGGCUGGGGCCCGAAAGGUCAUCAGGAUCGAGUGUUCUAAUAUCUCUGAUUAUGCAGUGAAGAUCAUCAAAGCUAACAAGUUAGACCACGUGGUGACUAUCAUCAAGGGGAAGGUGGAGGAGGUGGAGCUCCCGGUGGAGAAGGUGGACAUCAUCAUCAGUGAGUGGAUGGGCUAUUGCCUCUUUUACAAGUCCAUGCUCAACACCAUGCUCUAUGCCCAAGACAAGUGGCUGGCGCCCGAUGACCUCAUCUUCCCAGACCGAGCUACGCUGUACGUGAUGGCCAUAGAGGACCGGCAGUACAAAGACUACAAGAUCCACUGGUGGGAGAAUGUGUAUGGCUUCGACAUGUCUUGCAUCAAAGAUGUGGCCAUCAAGCAGCCCUUAGUGGACAUGGUGGACCCAAAACAGCUGGUCACCAACCUUCACUUCAGCGUUCUGCCUGCAAGUGAAGCGGAAUGACUCCGUGCAUUCCCUGGUGGCCUACUUCAACAUCGAGUUCACAAACUGCCACAAGAGGACCGGCUUCUCCACCAGCCCGGAAUCCCCGUACACGCACUGGAAGCAGACGGUGUUCUACAUGGAGGACUACCUGACCAUGAAAAUAGGUGAGGAGAUCUUCGGCACCAUCGGCAUGUGGCCCAACGCCAAGAACCAUCGGGCCCUGGACUUCACCAUCGACUUGGACUUCAAGGGCCAGCUGUGUGAGCUGUCCUGCUCCACUGACUACUGGAUGCGCUGAGGCCUGGCUCUCCCCGCCCUACACCAGCCCAGGGGCUGACCGUUCCUAGGCGGUUUUGGGGCUCCCUUUUUCUCUCCCUCCCGAAGAAGAGGGUUUUAGGAGCCUGGGCUGGGGGGAUGGGGAGGGCACAUCGUGACUGUGUUUUUCAUAACUUAUGUUUUUAUAUGGUUGCAUUUACUCCAAUAAAUCCUCAGCUGGGAAAAAAAAAA